CGAACGGGUGAGUAAUGCGUGACCAACCUGCCCCAUGCUCCAGAAUAGCUCUUGGAAACGGGUGGUAAUGCUGGAUGCUCCAACUUGACGCAUGUCUUGUUGGAAAGUGUUUAGUGGCAUGGGAUGGGGUCGCGUCCUAUCAGCUUGUAGGCGGGGUAAUGGCCCACCUAGGCUUCGACGGGUAGCCGGCCUGAGAGGGCGGACGGCCACAUUGGGACUGAGAUACGGCCCAGACUCCUACGGGAGGCAGCAGGU
rnacentral:rRNA from 1 species